UACGUAGGGUGCAAGCGUUGUCCGGAAUUAUUGGGCGUAAAGAGCUCGUAGGCGGUUUGUCGCGUCGAAUGUGAAAACCCGGGGCUCAACCCCGGGCCUGCAUUCGAUACGGGCAGACUAGAGUUCGGUAGGGGAGUCUGGAAUUCCUGGUGUAGCGGUGAAAUGCGCAGAUAUCAGGAGGAACACCGGUGGCGAAGGCGGGACUCUGGGCCGAUACUGACGCUGAGGAGCGAAAGUGUGGGGAGCAAACAGG
rnacentral:rRNA from 1 species